AAUGACUACAAAGGACACUUUCAGCAUAAAAAUAUUCUUCUGACUGAGGCCUUAGACUUGCUUUAUACUCCAGUAGAGCUGUGCGGUCUCCUUGUGCAGCGAGUAUCUAUUUAUAGAAAAAUUAUUUUAACAUUUAUUGUUAAAUAAGUAAUCGCCCUAUGCGCUUUUUCAUAACACAACUUACAUUUAUAACAGCCUUAUGACAAUUGAGAUUUUUGGCUACUUCCAAUCUUUUUCCACUGUCUAAAUAAUUAAGAAAUUUCUCAAUAAUACCAGAAGGCGCUUGAUGAUCUUGCAAGAGUUUUAAAACUUCUUCAAUAGAAAUUCACCUUUUUAUGAAGUAAAUUAUCAAUGUCAUCCCAGGAUUGAACAGAUGCUCUGGUGGUAAUGGCUAUUUUUUGAUACUGCCUAGAUGAAAUUUCUUGAUUUUGAACCAGCCAGAGUGGAGAAUGAGUGCUACUCUCAGGAGCACCCCAACAAUCUUUACAAGCCAGCCUUAAGCAUUCCAAAGCAGAAGCAUUGUACUUCAAUGGCUCACUAAAUUUGUUAUGUGCAUUCUUUUGCCAUUCUGUAGUAAACCCAAAAGUAUUCACAUGAAUAAAUAGAUGUGUGACAUCAUUAAGAGAA